AUGGACCCAUGUUCAGUUGGAGUCCAGCUUUGUACCACAAAUGAGUGCCAUAAAACUACUACACUCAUCAUAUGGGUUUCAAGCCUUUGCAAGAGUUGUCAUCGAAUGAUAUGCUUUUACUUCAACUUAGAACUGGAAUGACACUUUCUGGGAACAACUCAAUCUGCUUUCAUCCUGUAAAAAUUUACAUUGACAGAUUUGAGGAUUUGCAGAAGUCAUGUUGUGACCCAUUUAACAUACACAAAAAGCUAGCCAAAAAAAAAAAUUGCAUGUAAUUAACUUAGAUGAUGACACUUUUCUGAGCGCAAAAUUUGGAAGACAGCUUGUACCUGGUUGGAAGCUUUGUCCAAAAUGUACCCAGAUAAUCAAUGGAAGUGUGGAUGUUGAUUCUGAUGACCAACAGAGAAGGAAACCUGAAUUGGAUGGAAGAACUGCUAAAGCAUUGAGGUCACUGCAGUUUACCAACCCAGGGAAGCAAACUGAAUUUGCUCCGGAAACUGGGAAAAGAGAAAAAAAGGAGACUUACAAAGAGUUCAACUGCUGGUUCAGACAGACAAGUGAUACCAGCCAAGAGUAAGGUCUACGAGAGCCAAGGCCUCCUGAUUUUCAGUGGGAUUGACCGACUGCCUGGCUGAAGACUGCUUAGGAUGUUUCUUCGCAUGCCCUGCCUGUGGCUGUACCAAAUGUGGGGCUGAAUGCCGCUGUGACCACAAGGGGCUCUACGAGCAAAUAGAAAUUGAAGGAGGAGAGAUCAUUCCUAAUAAACAUGCUGGAUCAUUUGUAGUAUCAAACUUACGGGUCCUCCAUUUCUAAAAUCCUGUCACUCUUUCAGAUUGUCAAAGAUGCAGAAACCACCUCAGUAUGUACUAGUAUAGU